rnacentral:rRNA from 1 species
AUUGAACGCUGGCGGCAGGCCUAACACAUGCAAGUCGAGCGGAUGAAGGGAGCUUGCUCCUGGAUUCAGCGGCGGACGGGUGAGUAAUGCCUAGGAAUCUGCCUGGUAGUGGGGGAUAACGUCCGGAAACGGGCGCUAAUACCGCAUACGUCCUGAGGGAGAAAGUGGGGGAUCUUCGGACCUCACGCUAUCAGAUGAGCCUAGGUCGGAUUAGCUAGUUGGUGGGGUAAAGGCCUACCAAGGCGACGAUCCGUAACUGGUCUGAGAGGAUGAUCAGUCACACUGGAAAGGAGACAGGGUCCAGGCCCCUACGGGAGGCCGCAGUGGGGAAUAUUGGACGAUGGGCGAAAGCCUGAUCCAGCCAUGCCGCGUGUGUGAAGAAGGUCUUCGGAUUGUAAAGCACUUUAAGUUGGGAGGAAGGGCAGUAAGUUAAUACCUUGCUGUUUUGACGUUACCAACAGAAUAAGCACCGGCUAACUUCGUG